rnacentral:lncRNA from 1 species
GUCAAAGGUUAAAGCCAUGGCACCUACACCGCUGGCCUCAUGGCCCAUAUGUCCUAUAGCUGCAAUUAUAAGAGUUGGAUAUAAAAUUUCCACUGCUUCAGUCCUUUCCCAAGGGACUCAACAGUUGAAGGGCACUGCAGCCCCUCUCAUCUUCUGUACAUGUGUGUGCGGAUGCGUAUGUCUCAGAUUACAGGUGACAGUAAAGAGAAUCUUGAGCUUCGAAAACAAGGAGUCCUAUCUGCUUGUCUUGCUUACUGAUAAAUUGGCCAUGCGUAGCUCCAUGCCUUAUACGUGACGGAGUCUCGCUCUUUCGCCCAGGCCGGACUGCAGUGGCGCUGCCUCAGUUCACUGCAAGCUCCGCUUCCCGGAUUCACGCCAUUCUGCUGCCUCAGCCUCCUGAGUAGCUGGGAUUACAGGCGCCAGCCACCGCGCCCGGCUAAUUUUUUGUACUUUUAGUAGAGACAGGAUUUCACCCCGUGUUAGCCAAGAUGGUCUCGGUCUCCUGACCUCGUGAUCUGCCUGCCUCGGCCUCCCAAAGUGGUGGGAUUACAGGCGUAAGCCACCGCGCCCGGCCUGAGCAAUGAAUUUCUUAAUUGCCAAACAUAACACAAUGUUAGUUUUAUCUUUACAUUUGAAAUCUGACUGAUUGCACUAUUGAUGGAGGGCAAACUUUGAAAUUUGGGGGAGUUGCUUAAUCACCAAACACAUGAUCAACCUUUUUAAUGUUCUGUGAAUGCUUGAAAAAAAAAGUUGAUUUGGUGGUUAUUGUAUGCAAUGUUCUAUAAAACUCAAUUUUUUAAAUGUUUAAAUAAUGGUAUUUAUGUUAUAAUAUUUG